UAAUUUCCAUGGCUUAAAAUUAAUCAAAUAUAAACAUUCACACAUUCGUAAUGGUAUGAGGGGAAACAAAUCUCAUUCAUCUUAGAGAAUAUUAUGAGAACAUCUAAAUAAAGAGAAACAAUCAAGCACAUAACCUGCUUUCUUGUAUGAACUGUAUCCCAGGAAGAUCUAAUCAUUAUUGAGGAAAAGUUUCUCUCUAUAGACAUGAAGAGAGCCCCAUGUCACAAAUGCUUAAUGCAAUAAUGGAUUGAGGCAAUAAGCAUCAGUGGCUACUAAAACCCCCCAAAAUAGAAACAACUAGACAUGUAUGCUUCUUGAUGUAAGUACACCAUAUCACCAGUGAAGUGUUCUUGUCAGGUAAUCAAACCUGAAUGAGAUCAAGCUUCUAAAUCUAACUACUAUUUCACAGGAAAUUUUAAAAGAAUGCAAUCAACAAAAUCCAAAAUGUGAAACUCUGUAGAGAAAAUGACUCAAUUUUCGUCAACAAAUAAAUUGCAAGAAACAAAAAGAAAUGAGGGAGAACUUAUGGAUUAAAAGAUUUAUAAGAGACAUAACAACCAAAGAUCCAGGGAUAUGAUUUCAAAGCUCAUGUGGAAUGAAGACUGCCCCACCUGAAAGCAAUCUACCCAAGUAAAAAGAAGAAGGAAGAAAAGAAAAGGGCAGAAUGCAACUGAAGCCCACAAUUUGGGAUAUCUAGGAUGGGGAGGUCAGAGUUGGUUCUUUGUGGGGUUUCUUUUAUUAUUGUUGUAGUUUGGGGAGGGAGUGGUAUUUUAUGGCAAAGAACGAGAAAAUAUCUCUAAAUUGGACAGCAUUGCCUGCCUCGGACUUUUUGAAUUACCUCUGACUUAAAGAUUAUAAAGUGUUUAUUUUUCUCUUCCAAGAAGGGAGGGCAUAGUAAUUUCCUCCAUUACCCUCAUGCUCUCCUCCCUCUGCUGUUGAGGGGACAGUUCAUUGAUGAUAGCUCCCUUGUGCUCAGUCAACACUGAUGGCAAAAAGAAAGAAAAUAAACAGCAUAUUACCUGUGAAAGAAUGGGGAGCCCCUAUAAGUCCAACCUAAUAAACAUCCAAGGACUAUUGGGCCUGUCACUUGACAUUUUGAUGGAAAUGGCUGUUGUUGUAUUUCUAGAAAUCAAAGGAAACAUCAGAACCUUUGCAAAC
rnacentral:lncRNA from 1 species